rnacentral:rRNA from 1 species
CCUACGGGAGGCUGCAGUGGGGAAUAUUGGACAAUGGGCGAAAGCCUGAUCCAGCCAUGCCGCGUGUGUGAAGAAGGCCUUCGGGUUGUAAAGCACUUUCAGUGGGGAAGAAAGCCUUGGGGCUAAUACCCUCGAGGAAGGACAUCACCCACAGAAGAAGCACCGGCUAAACUCCGUGCCAGCAGCCGCGGUAAUACGGAGGGUGCGAGCGUUAAUCGGAAUUACUGGGCGUAAAGCGCGCGUAGGCGGUCUGAUAAGCCGGUUGUGAAAGCCCCGGGCUCAACCUGGGAACGGCAUCCGGAACUGUCAGACUAGAGUGCAGGAGAGGAAGGUAGAAUUCCCGGUGUAGCGGUGAAAUGCGUAGAGAUCGGGAGGAAUACCAGUGGCGAAGGCGGCCUUCUGGACUGACACUGACGCUGAGGUGCGAAAGCGUGGGUAGCAAACAGGAUUAGAUACCCUGGUAGUC